rnacentral:misc_RNA from 1 species
AGAAGCUGAUCUUAGAUCCCAAAAGUGCAAAUUGCUCUUAUUGGAAAUGUAGUCUUUACUCUGCUUUUGUCUAUAAAGCUAAGAAAUUUCGUUAAUAGAUAGGCAACUGCUAAUUGAGGCGUGCAAAUUCAGACAUUGGCCAUCUUAAUACUUAUCCUGUAUUUUUUAGGUUCUUAUGGUUAUGGGGUAUUGGCUAUUGCCGUUUUCAUUUGUUUGUUUGUCCAAAGGUUUGUGAAUGGUCUUUGCAAGAGAAAACGGCAUGUUUGUCCUUUCUUUGUCUGUUUGCUCUUCUUAAGUACCAAUCUUUGUCACCAAUUUAUCGACUUUGAGGGACUGUUUAUCUAUGUUUCUUUUGGGUUCCUUAAUUGCAGUUCAAGCCCCAGG